rnacentral:rRNA from 1 species
AGUGAACGCUGGCGGCAGGCCUAACACAUGCAAGUCGAGCGGCAGCGCGUCCGACCACCCUCGGGUGGUCGGAUGGCGGCGAGCGGCGGACGGGUGAGGAAUGCAUCGGAAUCUGCCUCGUUGUGGGGGAUAACGUAGGGAAACUUACGCUAAUACCGCAUACGACCUACGGGUGAAAGUGGGGGACCUUCGGGCCUCACGCGAUGAGAUGAGCCGAUGCCGGAUUAGCUAGUUGGCGGGGUAAAGGCCCACCAAGGCGACGAUCCGUAGCUGGUCUGAGAGGAUGAUCAGCCACACUGGAACUGAGACACGGUCCAGACUCCUACGGGAGGCAGCAGUGGGGGAAUAUUGGACAAUGGGGGCAACCCUGAUCCAGCCAUGCCGCGUGUGUGAAGAAGGCC